AGCCAUGAAAAUGACCUUGUGCAAUAACUAGAAGACAUAGAACAAGGCACAAGUAGGGAUGAGCACACUGGCCAUUAAACUCGCUGCUUUCUUUGAGUUUGUGGCGCUUGAGGUUUUGUUAGAUCCUGCACUUCCUGCAUCGAAUUGGAUCAGCCCAGUCAGGUGGUGGACUUGGUUCAUCCUCGUUUGUCUCUGCUGGCUCAUCAGCUAAUGUAGGUGUAUCUGGUGCUGGAGGUGGAGUUGGGACGGCUGAAACAAAUCAUCCACACAUUCUGACACCAGGGAGCUCCAGCGCCCUCGUGUGGUUGAUGGAGAUGCCGAAGGACGCCGCGCUGCCAUCCAGGACCAUGCAGAGGCACCGGGGGUCGGACUGGACGACGCCAGCGAGCGUGGUGCAGCAGGUGAACUCGGGGAUCGGCGAUUUGCCGGAGAUGUAAUCCAGGCACGGGGAGAGCGUCAUCAUCACGCUGGAGCAGCCAUUGUUCUGCGAUGCGGCACGGGAAGCAAGCAUUGUCAUCACCACCACAAUCACCGCCACCACUGGAGCCCGUGGGACGCCGGUCUGCGACUUUCUUGCAGCCAUUGUCAGCUGCCGAUCGAUGGUCCCUCCCUCCUUCCCUCCCUCCUCCUCGACGACGAACAAUACAAUGCCGGUCAAAUCAAGAACUGAUUGAUGUAUGUCUCUCAGAAAAAAAAAAGAGUAAAAAUGCUUUUGGGGCAUCAGGUGAGAAUGGUUUGUGAGGAUGUUGAUGGAGGAUGAGAUCGUUGUAUGCUGCAGCCACUCGUGCCGGAAUUGAAGGAAUGCUGUGCCGGGAAAGUGCAGGGAUGUGUUCUUCCUGGCCACACAGUUGUCUGGCCAUAGUGCUAAUGAACAUGUAUGCCAUUUUACUGCAGUCCUCUAUUUAUGGAAAGAAUUUGAUGCAUAUGCAGAAAUUUAGGGGGUGUUUUGGUCUGGUUUUGCUCCAAUUUGGGCACAGCCUUACCCUUUUCUCU